UUGUGCCAAGGCGAAUUUUCUUUGUUUACAUAUUUCUUUGUUUCUACAUUGUUACUCAAAGUAUUUGUAGCAGUUAUAUUGAAACACAAAAAAUAAAGAUUAUCCGUACAUAAUAUCAUAGUACAUAUUAUUGCAUUGUUGAAUGCAAAUAUGGUGAAAUGUGUAUUGUGCGCAAAACGAUGCAUGUCUUGGACAUCUUCCGAAUGCUUUACCAGGUAGGUGUCCAACACCAGCGUUGCGGUGCUGAAGUUGCAUCUUUCUUCAACCAGUCACUAACAGCACCACACAAUGCAUCCAGACGAUCCUCGUCCCUUUUCCUUUUGUUUCUGUUCGUAGUUAUGCUGGAGGCUGUUCUUUGCUCCGGGGAUGAAUUAGUUCCGAUGGAAAGUUUUCCAUACGGCAUGUAUGUGGCGUCUUCGAUUCAAAUACACAUAUUCUAUUUCGCUGUCAGUUAUAUUCGAUGCCGCAACGGACCCAUUGUGACGGACCUAUUAACUAUUCAGAAUUGGUGCCUAUUAAGGCUACCAAUGCCUUGGGACCUGCAUGGUGAAUUUACAGAUGUAAAUGGCGAACAUAUUUUGUCACAAUUCGAAGCUUUUGAGAGUAUGACAUUAUAAAGUCGACCACCAACCUUAAUAAGCUCGAAACUGGUUGAAUUGCCUUAAAAUAGUGUUAAAAAUUGCAAGCUGAUUUUAAUUGAAGAUUUAUUUUUAGCAAAUGAAAGUCGUCGGUAAAAUGCUGCUGUUGAAUUAUCCGAAUGAUAGAAUAUAAAACAUGUCGCAGUUCCUGAUAUGUUGGCGAAAAAGUUGCUGGUCGGGAUCUCCUUCGGCAUGUGUCGCUAAACCUAAACAUCCAAGCAACGAGACGUAGACAGCGAUUGUAUGAUCUAAUUUUUCGAUUAUUUGUAGGAUGUAAUUAGUUUCUAAUAUACAACGACAGCAAAAAAGUUUUUUCGCUUGUUGACGUUGAUGAUUUCAUUAUCGCCAUAUCUUCACGUAGAAACGAAGGUCCUGAAAACCAGUUCGAUGUUUUUACGUCAGCUACAGUGCAACCACGCGAUACCAAGUCUGCGGGAUUUUAUUGAGUGGGUACGAAUCUCGACCGGGCUUUUGAACAUUGACAAUAUCGCCGAGUGUUGUUGCAACCAAUGAAGGACUAAUUGCGAAUCGGGCCAAAAGUAUGUGAAAGUGAGUUUGGCUGAAAAAUGUUCCUUACUUUAUUGUAUAAUUGAGCGAGAAGAUGUGCUUCGCAAAGCUUGCGUUACGGAAGUGAUUGUUUCUUCACUGGAGCACGAAUAGCUUCGAUGUAAGCAGGUGAACAACAAUGGCUAUUAUUUUAGUACUUCCGAAGUGAAAUUGCUGCUCAGAGUAAGACUGAGCAUGGAAAGCGAGUUCUCCUCGGGAUGGAGGUAGAAGAGCGUCCUCUGGAAUAAGGUUGUGGAAGAAAUAAAAGAAGUUAAUAAAGACAUGAAGAUCCACAGGACCAUCGCCCAGCGAAAUUAAUCUAUUAAUCACAUAUAAGCGUAUAAAAAAAAAUAAUGCAUCUGGUAGGGAAGCAACAUCAUGGCUUCCCUACGAGGAAUUUUAUGAGGUAUACGGUACCAGGCACUCAAUCAAUGUGCCCACUGAAAAUUUACAAAGCUCAGUUGAGCUGUCAAUGACGCCAUUAACGGAACGGAAUCAUGUUGAGCCAUCAAAUUCUCCACCAACUCCAAUUCGUAGAAACGGACAGUCUCGAAGAAAUGAAAACAACGAAAUGAUGAAUUUUUUACAAGAUGAGUCGAUAAAAAUGGCUCAACAAAUAAUUUUUUUACCUUAUUUUUAAUUUUCUUAUUAUAUCGAACGAAGCUGUGAAAAGUACCUUUUUCAAAUUGAA